rnacentral:tRNA from 1 species
GGAGAUUUGGCUCAGUGGCAGAGCGCUUGCCUAGGAGAAGCGCAAGGCCCUGGGUUCGGUCCCCAGCUCCG